rnacentral:rRNA from 1 species
CUACGGGGGGCAGCAGUAAGGAAUAUUGCGCAAUGGAGGCAACUCUGACGCAGCCAUGCCGCGUGCAGGAAGAAGGCCUUAUGGGUCGUAAACUGCUUUUAUUUAGGAAUAAACCCCCGAACGUGUUCGGGGCUGAAGGUACUAAACGAAUAAGCACCGGCUAACUCCGUGCCAGCAGCCGCGGUAAUACGGGGGGUGCAAGCGUUAUCCGGAUUUAUUGGGUUUAAAGGGUGCGCAGGCGGGCUAUUAAGUCAGUGGUGAAAUCCCGGGGCUCAACUCCGGAACUGCCAUUGAUACUGAUAGUCUUGAGUUUGGUUGAAGUGGGCGGAAUGUAGCAUGUAGCGGUGAAAUGCAUAGAUAUGCUACAGAACACCAAUCGCGAAGGCAGCUCACUAAGCCAAAACUGACGCUCAUGCACGAAAGCGUGGGGAUCAAACAGGAUUAGAUACCCCUGUAGUC